UGAACCUGCGGAAGGAUCAUUA
rnacentral:ncRNA from 214 species